rnacentral:rRNA from 1 species
GAUGAACGCUGACAGAAUGCUUAACACAUGCAAGUCUUUGGCGAAGCUGUGCUUGCACAGCCUAGCCAAGGCGGACGGGUGAGUAACGCGUAAGGAACUUGCCCUGCAGUCAGGGAUAACAGACGGAAACGACUGAUAAGACCUGGUAAAGUCAGGCGGACUCAUGUCCAGCCUGAUGAAAAGAGAUGCUGCAGGAGAGCCUUGCGUCCUAUUAGCUUGUUGGUGGGGUAACGGCCCACCAAGGCGAUGAUAGGUAGCCGGCCUGAGAGGGUGGACGGCCACAAGGGGACUGAGAUACGGCCCUUACUCCUACGGGAGGCAGCAGUGGGGAAUAUUGGACAAUGGGGGCAACCCUGAUCCAGCAAUUCUGUGUGCACGAUGAAGGUUUUCGGAUUGUAAAGUGCUUUCAGCAGGGAAGAAAAAAAUGACGGUACCCGCAGAAGAAGCGACGGCUAAAUACGUG